GCUGAAGGCUCAUCAAGGCCGCAUUCCUAGCGACCUCCUCCAACCCCAACUAGCCUUUUCUGAGCACUGCAAAGCGGCUCUAUGAACAUUUCCUUGCAGGUCCAUUUUAAACUGAUCACAAUGUUUUCUCCUUUCCUCUAAGGUAGUGUUCCCUGUAACUCUGGGACUCUGAAGUGGUGGCUUAUGGAUCUGUUUUGGCUGGCAAGGACCGAAGUUACAGAGAAGGACUUAGUUACAAGCCCAGGCCGGGCUGUGUUCACCCUCUGUGACUGGAGCCCAGGGUCGGAACCCCUCAGGAAAGAGGACGGCGUGAGAAAUGAAAAGCAUGAUCACUUGUCUCACGAAAACUGAACAGAUGAAAGUAGCCUCACGUCUUCCUGGGAUGACAUCUACCCACCCUGACUGCAAUUAUUUCCUAAAAGAGUCCCCGACUUCCCAAGCUCUGAAAUACAACUCGUGUGCACGGAGGUGAACUCAUCUAUCUUCCGGGUUCCUGGCAACCUGGAAGUGGGGAAGCGGUUCUCCCUUCCGUUACCCAGACCAUCUACGGCCUCGUAUCUGCCCAUCCUUCUGAACUGCUGCUGGACCUGCAGGCUGAUGACAAAGGAGGACAGACGACCACAGGGCCCUAUUCAGGGGAAAGGAAGGAAAGGGAGUUUUUCUGGCUUGCAAACAGACUGAUAAGGAGCUCCAGGAGCAAGACAUGCUGACAGAGAGGAGAUGGGGGUAGAGACUCGGGAGACCACUGAACUUGCCUUUGGAACAAAACGGGGGUGGAGUCAGCCAGAAUUUCCGGACCCAGCCGACCUUCUCGGGCGGUGCAGGCUGCUGGUUUCCAUCCUGAGGCCCCUGCCCGAGGACAAGACGAGAAGCGGGCGGUUAGGAGAUUCCAGCCGCGGCCGCCUCGGCGGCCCC